UUCAGUGACAGGACAAAAUAUUAUUUGUUGGCAUCCUUUGUUCUACACAUAAAGCAUAGUGAGUCCAAGGAUUCCACUAUAAGCCCAAGAAUUUUGCUGUCUGGUCCUGUAGGUGAACAAGACCAUCUCCUUGUCCUAGAACAUUUUACGAUCUCUCUUACUCAAAAUAAGUUUGAGUCUAUGAGUGGAGAGGUUUUUGAGUGAUUUUUACCCAAAUUUAAAUUUGAUAUAGGUUUCAGUCAAGGGUUGGAGAUGCCAUUAUAUCACUGUGUAUUCUAUAUUUAAUUUUCGUUUUGAGACUGAAUAGUUAUUGUUUGUCUUUUAUUUGUAAAAAUUUUAGAUUCAUCAUGAUAUGACAGCUCAUUUAUCUCACUAUUUUGUAUAUACGGGCCAUAAUUUGUAUCUAAUGGGAAAUCAACUAAGGAGUGACUGCAGUGAUGUCCCGAUCAUACAAGCAUUGCAGAGAGGUGUUAGAGUAUUUGAACUGGAUAUCUAGUCGAGUUCCACAAAAGAUAAUGUCAAUGUUCUUCAUGGAAGGAAACUCUGGCCAACCUCCCAAGCGUUUAGAAGAGUUUCUAGGAGCUCAAAUGGAGAAGAUGAUGAAGAAUGGUCGCUGAUAUCUGAAAUGCACUCAAGGUUAGAAAUUUCUUAGAGAGAUGCAAAAUAUGGUCAAAGAAUUCAAGAACUUAAUUUUUCAAAUUUUUUCAUUUUUUAAUAUAUGUAAGCACAAUGUAAAACUUUUUAUUUAAUCCCUCUGUAUAUAAUUUUGAACAUAUUUAACUUUCAUUUAUGAAAUAUAUGACGUUAUUCCAUUCAA